GAAACUGAGGCAAAGGGUAGAACCCGUCUGCGCCGCAACCCUGGUGGUGUCCUUGCCUACAAAAUCCAUCAUGGCACACCACUGUGUCUACGUUUUGGCAUGCCCUUCCUUUUAACACACAACCUGGAAGCCCCCAGCUCUGCGGUACCUCCGGAAGAGCAGCAGGUGCAAAUGGCGAAAACCGAUGGCCUGGCAGUCACUAGAGGGUGCAGAGCGGGGUGGAGCUGCUUCAAAGCCCCAUUCCAAGAGAACUGGCACUACUUGACUUGUCCGGAGGGUCUCUGGAAGACCCCACUUGCAAGACCCCACUUUAUUUGACUUGAUUUGGAGCUCAGAAUUCACCUAGUGCAAAAAAGCCUUUUCCCCAGGGGCAUUUGCCAAUAACACGUGCAGGCAAAGGUGUAGGCAAGGGUUCAACUUGCCUUCACAACUGCCUGAAGUAGCAAAUAAUGCUUGAGACAAUAAGUUAGCCAAAAAGGUUAAAAGGCAGAACUGGAGAAUGGGCAUCCAUAGCAGCUCCGAAGAGCUCUAAAACAUUCCUGAAAUCUAGAAGGCCACAUGCAUGGGUUGAGCACACACAUGCUUACGGCUAUGCAUGUGCCCAGCAAAGACUCUA